AAUGACUUGCCCCAAAUCUCAGAGCAGGGAUUCAUAAAAUUCUAAAUGUAGAGUUUGGAGGUUGAAAAGUGUUGUCAGCAGGAGGCCAGCAGGGGGUACCAUGAAACUAAACUUUGGCAUUCCUCACAGGUUCUGAUCCUGAGUCUUACUCUCCAGCUCUUCAACAAAGUUCAGCUUGCUGUUCCUGGGAGAAGGCUUAUUAUGCCCAUUUAUAUGCAGGGAUCUUGUGGUAACAAGAGUACAUCAGAAGCUGAUCAUCUGAAAGCUUCUUCUGGAAACUGCACAAUCAAGCUGGAACUGAAAUGAGACAAACAUCCCUGAAAAAUAGCUGUUCCCAGCCUGAGAGCAACCAAGAAAAGGCUUCACCAGCAGGAAUACCAAGAACUCCUCCAAAGGGAGCCAGCACCGUGAGGCACGCUGCACCUCAACAAAGACCACCAACAUUCAGGAUGACAGUCCCAGUAUUGCUGAAUCCCUGCCAUGCUAUGAUUAUUCUUGUUUAAUUAAUGUUUAAUUUGGAGAGUUGAUGUUGACAGGCUCAAUGUGUGCACAUCGAAAGCACCAGGUUCAAAAGUAAGUGUGAGUGGGUGGGUAACUGCCCCACCCAUUGUCCUUAAUACAUUUAGAAUGUGCAUCUUCUGAACUGAUUGCAAAUGCUUUAUGCUUAGUCUACAGUUUCUACAUCAGAUGCUGGAGCAGGUUCCAGCUGGGACUCCUUAACUUAUUUUUUGGAAUUCUAUCCAGUACCACUAGCCCUAAUGGUUCCCCAUGUCCAACCCAAAUCCCACACAGGAGAUUGCCCAGAGAGGAGACAGUCUGGUUGCCACACAAUGCCCUCCCACCCCCAUCACCUUG